GCCCCGUUCGUCUAGCGGCCUAGGACGUCGCCCUCUCACGGCGGUAACACCGGUUCAAAUCCGGUACGGGGUACGA
rnacentral:tRNA from 12 species